UACGAAGGGGGCUAGCGUUGUUCGGAAUUACUGGGCGUAAAGCGUGCGCAGGCGGCUUCUCAAGUCAGGGGUGAAAGCCCAGAGCUCAACUCUGGAAUUGCCUUUGAGACUGAGUGGCUUGAGUACGAGAGAGGUGAGUGGAAUUCCCAGUGUAGAGGUGAAAUUCGUAGAUAUUGGGAAGGAACACCGGUGGCGAAGGCGGCUCACUGGCUCAUUACUGACGCUCGAGGCGCGAUAGCGUGGGGAUCAAACAGG
rnacentral:rRNA from 1 species